rnacentral:rRNA from 1 species
UACGGAGGAUGCAAGUGUUAUCCGGAAUCACUGGGCGUAAAGCGUCUGUAGGUGGUUUAAAAAGUCUACUGUUAAAAAUUGAAGCUUAACUUCAAAGAUGCCGUAGAAACUUUUAAACUUGAGGAUGGCAGGGGUAGAGGGAAUUUCCAGUGGAGCGGUGAAAUGCGUAGAUCUUGGAAAGACCACCAAUGGCGAAGGCACUCUACUGGGCCAUGACUGACACUAAGAGACGAAAGCUAGGGGAGCAAAUGGG